rnacentral:rRNA from 1 species
UACGGGGGGUGCAAGCGUUGUUCGGAGUUACUGGGCGUAAAGAGUCUGUAGGUGGUUUGUCAAGUCUUUGGUGAAAGGCCGUGGCUUAACCAUGGGAAUGCCAAAGAGACUGGCAGGCUGGAGGCUGGGAGAGGGAAGCGGAAUUUCUGGUGUAGCGGUGAAAUGCGUAGAUAUCAGAAGGAAGGCCGGUGGCGAAGGCGGCUUCCUGGAACAGUCCUGACACUGAGAGACGAAAGCGUGGGGAGCAAACAGG